CAUCUCUGUUUGGACAAACCAAUGAUAGCUUUACUGAGACUUCAUCAAUCAGAAAGACUGGCAAACAUCAGUUUUAAUUUACCUCCCUUGGAGACUGAGGCUGGAUGUAGUCCUGAAAAAGUUUCUGUGCCACUGAAAUUCUUUUCUUCUGUGAUGAUAUCUUUUUGAAGCUCUCACAAGCAAGCCAGAACUCAAUGUUUUCAUCACUGUAUUCUGUCUUCAGGUCUGCACUGUAUUUUUUGUUAGCAAAUAAGAAGAUUAUCUUGCUGACGGAAGCAUUCCAGGUUGUUAUCGUUUGGAGCCUUGAGCCUGCACAUUGCUGUAGGUGUGCUUGCAACA